rnacentral:rRNA from 1 species
UACGGGGGGGGCAAGCGUUGUUCGGAUUUACUGGGCGUAAAGGGCGUGCAGGCGGUUUGUUAAGUGCAGGGUGAAAGCUCCCGGCUCAACUGGGAGAGGUCCUUGCAUACUGGCGAACUCGAGGGAGGCAGAGGAAAGUGGAAUUCCCGGUGUAGUGGUGAUAUGCGUAGAUAUCGGGAGGAACACCUGUGGCGAAGGCGGCUUUCUGGGCCUUACCUGACGCUGAGACGCGAAAGCGUGGGGAGCGAACCGG